UACGUAGGGUGCAAGCGUUGUCCGGAAUUAUUGGGCGUAAAGAGCUCGUAGGCGGUUUGUCGCGUCUGCUGUGAAAACCCGAGGCUCAACCUCGGGCCUGCAGUGGGUACGGGCAGACUAGAGUGCGGUAGGGGAGAUUGGAAUUCCUGGUGUAGCGGUGGAAUGCGCAGAUAUCAGGAGGAACACCAAUGGCGAAGGCAGAUCUCUGGGCAUUACCUGACGCUGAGGAGCGAAAGUGUGGGGAGCGAACAGG
rnacentral:rRNA from 1 species